AGCACCCUGGGUGUGUUUGCUUGGCUCGUGCUGUGUUUGCUGCACUUCAUUUUUGCAGCCACCGUUAACGGUUCGCCGAUGCGCUUAGCUGAAGUUGAUAACGCGCAUCGCAGCCGUCGUGACUACACGGAAGCCGAAUUGAAGAAAUUUCUUCACCUGUUGGAGGAGUCAAGUAACGGCAAGCAGAAACCCUCAGACGACGUGGCAACCUACCUCAGGAACGUCAAAAAGCAUGGGAAGCGCCUCUGAGACCAUCGGAGACAAGCAGGGAUGUGUCGUUUGCUGGAAGUUUAAGGAAAGUUGCACUUACUAACUGCUUGAGCUACUUGUGCCAGUUGCAACGAAGCAACUCCUUCAAAACCAGAGUAAAAAUUGCAAAGUGCACGUUCCGCUCACAUUUUGUUUCUCUGGUAUUAUCUCAUAAAUGUGGGAAUAAAGACUCUUUGAACACUGUU